UAGGGAAUCUUCCGCAAUGGACGCAAGUCUGACGGAGCAACGCCGCGUGAGUGAAGAAGGAUCUCGGUUCGUAAAACUCUGUUGUUAGAGAAGAACAGCGCAUAGAGUAACUGUUAUGCGUGUGACGGUAUCUAACCAGAACGCCACGGCUAACUACGUGCCAGCAGCCGCGGUAAUACGUAGGUGGCAAGCGUUGUCCGGAUUUAUUGGGCGUAAAGCGCGCGUAGGCGGUUUUUUAAGUCUGAUGUGAAAGCCCACGGCUCAACCGUGGAGGGUCAUUGGAAACUGGAAAACUUGAGUGCAGAAGAGGAAAGUGGAAUUCCAUGUGUAGCGGUGAAAUGCGCAGAGAUAUGGAGGAACACCAGUGGCGAAGGCGACUUUCUGGUCUGUAACUGACGCUGAUGUGCGAAAGCGUGGGGAUCAAACAGG
rnacentral:rRNA from 1 species